rnacentral:rRNA from 1 species
CCUACGGUGGGCAGCAGUGGGGAAUUUUGGACAAUGGGCGCAAGCCUGAUCCAGCUAUUCCGCGUGUGGGAUGACGGCCUUCGGGUUGUAAACCACUUUUGUAGAGAACGAAAAGUCUGUUGAUAAUACCGAUAGAUGAUGACGGUACUCUAAGAAUAAGCACCGGCUAACUACGUGCCAGCCGCCGCGGUAAUACGUAGGGUGCGAGCGUUAAUCGGAAUUACUGGGCGUAAAGGGUGUGCAGGCGGUUUUGCAAGAUGGAUGUGAACGCCACGGGCUUAACCUGGGAAAGCCAUACAUGUCUGAAAGACUAGGGGGCGUCAGAGGAGGUGGAAGUCCAAGUGUAGCAGUGAAAUGCGUAGAUAUUUGGAAGAACACCGAUGGCGAAGGCAGCCCCCUGGGACGCAACUGACGCUCAGACACGAAAGCGUGGGGAGCAAACAGGAUUAGAUACCCGAGUAGUC